rnacentral:hammerhead_ribozyme from 1 species
AUCUAGAUGGUGAGUCCCAAAUAGGACGAAAUGCGCAUCCUGGAU